AAUUUGCAAGGCUAUGGCUCUGCUAAAUUUGAAUCAUUUACACUGGAAUUGGCUACAUCAUUAUCAGGCUUUAUCAUGAGACUCUGAAUGAAGGCCAGCAUCUGCAAUAUAAUUGAAUUAUAUUAUAUAAGCAAAUUGAAAAAACAAAUUGAAUUGUAAAUUAUGAUAUGGAAGUAGUACUUACUGAGGCAAAGGCAGCACAAGCUAUACCGAAACUGGGGAAAUGGAAGGGUG
rnacentral:lncRNA from 1 species